rnacentral:rRNA from 1 species
AGAGACAGCAGUAGCCGCGGGAAUACGUAGGUGGCAAGCGUUAAUCGGAAUUACUGGGCGUAAAGCGUGCGCAGGCGGUUCGCUAAGACAGAUGUGAAAUCCCCGGGCUUAACCUGGGAACUGCAUUUGUGACUGGCGGGCUAGAGUAUGGCAGAGGGGGGUAGAAUUCCACGUGUAGCAGUGAAAUGCGUAGAGAUGUGGAGGAAUACCGAUGGCGAAGGCAGCCCCCUGGGCCAAUACUGACGCUCAUGCACGAAAGCGUGGGGAGCAAACAGGAUUAGAUACCCCGGUAGUCCUGUCUCUUAUACC